GACGAACGCUGGCGGCGUGCUUAACACAUGCAAGUCGAACGCUGAAGCUCAGCUUUUGUUGGGUGGAUGAGUGGCGAACGGGUGAGUAACACGUGAGUAACCUGCCCCCUUCUUUGGGAUAACGCCCGGAAACGGGUGCUAAUACUGGAUAUUCACUGGUCUUCGCAUGGGGGUUGGUGGAAAGGGUUUUUCUGGUGGGGGAUGGGCUCGCGGCCUAUCAGCUUGUUGGUGGGGUGAUGGCCUACCAAGGCUUUGACGGGUUGCCGGCCUGAGAGGGUGACCGGUCACAUUGGGACUGAGAUACGGCCCAGACUACGACGGGAGGCAGCAGUGGGGAAUAUUGCACAAUGGGCGCAAGCCUGAUGCAGCGACGCCGCGUGAGGGAUGGAGGCCUUCGGGUUGUGAACCUCUUUCGCUCAUGGUCAAGCCGCAACAAUGGUUGUGGUGAGGGUAGUGGGUAAAGAAGCGCCGGCCAACUACGUG
rnacentral:rRNA from 1 species